UGAGGAAUAUUGGUCAAUGGGCGCAAGCCUGAACCAGCCAAGUAGCGUGAGGGAAGACUGCCCUAUGGGUUGUAAACCUCUUUUGUGCGGGGAUAAAGUGUGGGACGUGUCCCAUAUUGCAGGUACCGCACGAAUAAGGACCGGCUAAUUCCGUGCCAGCAGCCGCGGUAAUACGGAAGGUCCGGGCGUUAUCCGGAUUUAUUGGGUUUAAAGGGAGCGCAGGCCGUCCUUUAAGCGUGCUGUGAAAUGCCGCGGCUCAACCGUGGCACUGCAGCGCGAACUGGAGGACUUGAGUACGCACGAGGUAGGCGGAAUUCGUGGUGUAGCGGUGAAAUGCUUAGAUAUCACGAAGAACUCCGAUUGCGAAGGCAGCUUACCGGAGCGCAACUGACGCUGAGGCUCGAAAGCGCGGGUAUCGAACAGAAUUAGAUACCCUGGUAGUCCGCGCGGUAAACGAUGGAUGCCCGCCGUUGGGUUUUAGAAUUCAGCGGCCAAGCGAAAGCGUUAAGCAUCCCACCUGGGGAGUACGCCGGCAACGGUGAAACUCAAAGGAAUUGACGGGGGCCCGCACAAGCGGAGGAACAUGUGGUUUAAUUCGAUGAUACGCGAGGAACCUUACCCGGGCUUGAAUUGCAGGAGAACGAUCCAGAGAUGGUGAGGCCCUUCGGGGCUCCUGUGAAGGUGCUGCAUGGUUGUCGUCAGCUCGUGCCGUGAGGUGUCGGCUCAAGUGCCAUAACGAGCGCAACCCCUGUCCAUAGUUGCCAUCAGGUCGUGCUGGGCACUCUGUGGAGACUGCCGCCGUAAGGUGUGAGGAAGGUGGGGAUGACGUCAAAUCAGCACGGCCCUUACGUCCGGGGCUACACACGUGUUACAAUGGGGCAUACAGCGAGUUGGAUGUGCGCAAGUACGUCCGGAUCAAUAAAGUGCCUCUCAGUUCGGACUGGGGUCUGCAACCCGACCCCACGAAGCUGGAUUCGCUAGUAAUCGCGCAUCAGCCAUGGCGCGGUGAAUACGUUCCC
rnacentral:rRNA from 1 species